UACGAAGGGGGCUAGCGUUGCUCGGAAUCACUGGGCGUAAAGCGCACGUAGGCGGAUCUUUAAAUCAGGGGUGAAAUCCUGGAGCUCAACUCCAGAACUGCCUUUGAUACUGGAGAUCUCGAGUCCGGAAGAGGUGAGUGGAACUCCGAGUGUAGAGGUGAAAUUCGUAGAUAUUCGGAAGAACACCAGUGGCGAAGGCGGCUCACUGGUCCGGUACUGACGCUGAGGUGCGAAAGCGUGGGGAGCAAACAGG
rnacentral:rRNA from 1 species